rnacentral:rRNA from 1 species
GGCAAGUCGAGCGGACAGAUGGAGAGCUUGCUCCCUGAUGUUAGCGGCGGCACGUGAUGAGUAACACGUGGGUAACCUGCCUGUAAGACUGGGCUAACUCCGGGAAACCGGGGCUAAUACCGGAUGCUUGUUUGAACCGCAUGGUUCAAACAUAAAAGGUGGCUUCGGCUACCACUUACAGAUGGACCCGCGGCGCAUUAGCUAGUUGGUGAGGUAAUGGCUCACCAAGGCGACGAUGCGUAGCCGACCUGAGAGGGUGAUCGGCCACACUGGGACUGAGACACGGCCCAGACUCCUACGGGAGGCAGCAGUAGGGAAUCUUCCGCAAUGGACGAAAGUCUGACGGAGCAACGCCGCGUGAGUGAUGAAGGUUUUCGGAUCGUAAAGCUCUGUUGUUAGGGAAGAACAAGUACCGUUCGAAUAGGGCGGUACCUUGACGGUACCUAACCAGAAAGCCACGGCUAACUACGUG